AACCAUGCACGCAUUAUAAGGUCGGCAAAAGUGAAGGGGUGGAACGUUAGGUUUGGACUGGUUGGUGCAUAACUUCGCUUCCUCAACCAACUGUGUAGGGUUUCCACCAUUACUUAGCUACGAAGCUCCUCCUCUUUUCCUCCCUCUAUAUAUAUAUACAUUCGAUCCAUCAACUUCAUUAUCCACGUUCUCGCAACUUCCUCCAUCGAUUUGAAAAGGAGAAAGAGAGAGAUCGAUCGAUCAUGCCUCCGCCGUGGGGACCGCCACCGGGGCCGCACGGGCCUCCGGGGCCGUUCGGGUUCCUGUGCAAUGGGAUAUGCCGCCUCGUCUCCGCCUGUGCCUACGUGCUGUGUUGCUGCUGCCUCUUGGAGAGUUGCUGCGGGCCGAUGUUCGGCGGGCCCGGAGGCCCACCCGGAGGCCCACCACGCUUCUGAGCUCACCUCUUUUACCUGGAAAACGUAGAUGUCCCAAGAAAAAAAAAAAAGAAACAAUAAAUUUCGAGAUCGAGAGAGAUCGAUAGAGAGAAGACAUUUGAUCGUCGAUGUAUUUCAUUUCAUGCCAGUUUUCCAGAAUUCUACACGUGUCCGUGUUUUCUUC